GUCUCAUGCAGGAGCUGUUCUUACCCACUCCCGUCCCUGCCCGCGCAGCGCGCACGCCGCGCAGCCGAGCUAGCGCGCUCUCGUUCAAACAGUAAGCUAGCUGAGCUAGCUGAGUGAAGCUGACCCCUCCAACACCCUACAACCUGGAUUGGAGCCUGUUCUGAAACCAACACAGGGAAACAGAAGAAGACCCAGGAGGAAAUCCAAGUUGAAAAGAAAGAAUUAGAUCGAGCCCAGAAAAAAACGAGGUGGAUUUCACAGGAGGAAGAAGAGGGAUGCAGAGUUAGCCAUUUCUGCUUGACAAAUGUCUGGAUGUUUAUUUGGCUAACAACAACAACCAAACUUCAGAUGACCACACAUCAUUUCCUGGUCCAUUCCAGUGUUGUUGGUAACACAGAUCGAGAAGUUGACUUUGGGGAAGGUCUGAGACACAGUGGAUUCUGGGAGACUCCUAUUCAGGCUUUGUAAAAUAGGUCAGAAACUGUCCCAGACACAUGGGCUUGUGGAGGCAUCAUCUUUCAACAAUAAUGUAUUUACCUGUGCAAAUAUUAUUUUACACUUAUGUCAAAUAAAGCAUAUAUUUAAUAA